GCCUGGCUGGCUCAGACUGUAGAGCACGUGGCUCUGAAUCUCGGGAUUGUGAGUUCAAGCCUCAUGUUAGUUG
rnacentral:tRNA from 1 species